UCGCCUGUGUUGUGGGUCACACAGAACAUCCGAAGUAGAUAAGAAAACGGCUGCCAAGUAAAAGGCAGUCGCAUGAAAAGCAAAGGAAAGAGAGAGAGAGACGAAUGCAAAAUAUGCCGCUAUACCAAGUGCAAUGAACUUUGGGUGGGCGCCGCUGCCAGCGGAAAACUCUGCUGCCGCUCAAAAGCGACGACAAAACAGCGAUGGAAAAACGACGACAGAACAGCACGGCACAGCACAGAACUCAACUGAAAAGCCAAGCAAAGCAAAAGCACAGCAAAUGCACAGCAAAAGCAACGAAGUCAAGCAAGUUCUAGUUGAGGCAGGCCACCAAAGACCGAAGAACUGCGAAGAACUCGGGCCCAGACCAAAAACAGAGCAUGCAUGUCAUUAUAAAAGUCUAGAAAUAUCGUUUGGACACUGGAAAAAAAUAUGCAGUCCGAACAUAGAGGCAGCGAAAUGCUAAACAAAUUAUUCUACAUAUAGCUUUCCAGUUAUAAAAUUGUAUGAAUCAAUAAAGC
ensembl:ncRNA lncRNA:CR45921 long non-coding RNA:CR45921